CCUACGGGUCGCACCAGUGGGGAAUAUUGCACAAUGGGCGCAAGCCUGAUGCAGCCAUGCCGCGUGUAUGAAGAAGGCCUUCGGGUUGUAAAGUACUUUCAGUCGGGAGGAAGGUGGUGAGCUUAAUACGCUCAUCAAUUGACGUUACCGACAGAAGAAGCACCGGCUAACUCCGUGCCAGCAGCCGCGGUAAUACGGAGGGUGCAAGCGUUAAUCGGAAUUACUGGGCGUAAAGCGCACGCAGGCGGUUGAUUGAGUCAGAUGUGAAAUCCCCGGGCUUAACCGGGGAAUUGCAUCUGAUACUGGUCAGCUAGAGUCUGGUAGGGGGGGGUAGAAUUCCAUGUGUAGCGGUGAAAUGCGUAGAGAUGUGGAGGAAUACCGGUAGCGAAGGCGGCCCCCUGGACAAAGACUGACGCUCAGGUGCGAAAGCGUGGGGAGCAAACAGGAUUAGAUACCCUCGUAGUC
rnacentral:rRNA from 1 species